AUGCUGUCCAAGGCCAGCGAGGCCGGUCAUGUUAAGGGACUCGUCCCACACCUCAUCCUAGGUGGUGUGACUCAUUUACAAUAUGCUGACGAUACCUUGCUUCUGUUUAAGCCCGACGACCAUAGUAUCGCUUCGAUUAAGCUUUUGUUACUUGCCUUUGAGAUCCUAUCCGGACUCAAAAUGAAUUUUCUUAAAAGCGAGGUCAUUACCAUGGGGAUGGACGACCAUCAAAGCUUUCGAGUCGCAAAUCUACUUAAUUGUAAGCUUGGGAGCUUUCCAAUUAAGUAUCUGGGGCUUCCUAUAUCUCACCGCAAACUCUCGAUUUUAGAGUGGGAGCCUCUGUAUGGGAAAGUGGCCAAUAGGGUAAGCCCGUGGCGAGGGCGGUUUAUGUCUUCUGCGGCGAGGCUCAUUUUAACUAACUCGAGCCUCUCUUCCCUUCCCCUAUUCACUAUGGGGAUGUUCUUACUAGCCGAUGGCGUGCACGCUAAGCUAGACACACCGCGAUCCCGGUUCUUUUGGGAAGGAACUGGCAUCAAGCGGAAAUAUCACCUGGUAAAGUGGGCGGCUGUUUGUAGGCCAAAAGAAUUUGGAGGAUUGGGAAUCCUAAACUCCAAACUAAUGAACGUCGCCCUCCUGUCCAAAUGGUGGUGGCGGCUUGCCCAAAACGAGAUGAGUCUCUGGGCCCAGCUGCUAAAAGCCAAGUAUUUCCUGAAUGGGAAUCCCUUCAGUGCCUCGGCCAACGGCUCCGUGUUUUGGAAAGGGAUCCAAGCGGUCCGGCCCGCAUUUGCUAUUGGGGCCAAAUUUCAGAUUAACAAUGGACAAUCCACUCGGUUUUGGCUGGACCAUUGGUUGGGCGCCUCUCCCCUUUGGCAAAGUCACCCCAACUUAUUUCGGAUCGCCACUAAUAUCAACAUCUUAGUGGGAGAGGCAGCUCGUACUGACCCUCCAGCGAUUCACUUCAUGCGGGUCCUUUCCAACGCCGAACGAGAGUCAUGGGACGAUCUAGUUCAUCAAAUUCGUGCCAACCAUAUAGGGACGGGUGAUGAUUUGGUAGAAUGGAGCUUGACAGCUUCCCGGAAAUUCUCGGUUAAGUCCUUAUACAACAAGCUUACUGAAGGGACAGCGCUUGAUAUAGCUAGGGGGCUGUGGAAGGCAGGCCUGCCCCUGAAGAUUAAAAUCUUCAUGUGGCAAAUGUUCAGGAAUAGGCUGCCCAUGUCGGAUAAUGUGGCCAAACGUAACGGUCCGGCUGAUGGUACUUGCACUGUGUGCGGUCUAGGUGAAGAUGCAAACCACGUUUUUUUUAGAUGCCACCUGGCCAAGUUCGCCUGGAGUGCAGUUAGGGAAGCUUUCCACUCAAACUGGAACCCAACCUCGGGGAAUGACUUGUUAUCCAUCCUCAAAUCCACGAGAGGGACCAGUAGUAGAAUCGCUUGGCGCUGUGUAGGGGCGCUACUCUGGGCUAUUUGGACGACGCGCAAUAAAAUUACGAUUGAGAAAAAAUUCCCUAACCACCCCGCGGAUGUGAUCUUCAAAUGCCAUCUUUUUUUACAGACGUGGACUCCGCUGUGGAAGGAGCGCGAUGCUGAGCGCAUGUCGGAGGCCAUGGCGCGCAUCAAGACUAUCCAGGUGAUGGCUAGACAAGACCCGCCGAGCCGAUGA
rnacentral:rRNA from 1 species